rnacentral:rRNA from 1 species
GACGAACGCUGGCGGCGUGCCUAAUACAUGCAAGUAGAACGCUGAAGGAGGAGCUUGCUUCUCUGGAUGAGUUGCGAACGGGUGAGUAACGCGUAGGUAACCUGCCUGGUAGCGGGGGAUAACUAUUGGAAACGAUAGCUAAUACCGCAUAAGAGUAGAUGUUGCAUGACAUUUGCUUAAAAGGUGCAAUUGCAUCACUACCAGAUGGACCUGCGUUGUAUUAGCUAGUUGGUGAGGUAACGGCUCACCAAGGCAACGAUACAUAGCCGACCUGAGAGGGUGAUCGGCCACACUGGGACUGAGACACGGCCCAGACGCCUACGGGAGGCAGCAGUAGGGAAUCUUCGGCAAUGGACGGAAGUCUGACCGAGCAACGCCGCGUGAGUGAAGAAGGUUUUCGGAUCGUAAAGCUCUGUUGUAAGAGAAGAACGAGUGUGAGAGUGGAAAGUUCACACUGUGACGGUAUCUUACCAGAAAGGGACGGCUAACUACGUG